UACAGAAGUGAAUAAGAUAGGUCUC
rnacentral:piRNA from 1 species